GCCUGGAGCCAUCUCCUUCCAAACUGCGUUCUCAUCUGAUUGCAAAAGCUAAGCAGGUUGGGCCUGGUCAGCCCUUGGCUGGGAUUCCUCAAGGGAAAAAGAGGUGCUAGAAGAA
rnacentral:rRNA from 1 species